rnacentral:misc_RNA from 1 species
GAUCUGAUGAUGGGAUCCCAGAGAAAUCGAGGGAAACUCUUGAAAAUCCGCAAUAACUUUUUACUGGGUGUACCGAUUUUGAUAAUUCUUUUUUGUUGGAAAGAAGAUAUCCCUAGUUUAGUACCAUGAUAGGGAAACCAGGAUCUGAUGAUGGGAUCCCAGAGAAAUCGAGGGAACUUCUUGAAAAUCCGCAAUAACUUUUUAUU